CACACACUCACACUCACAGAAACACACACACACUCACAGACACACACACUGACACACACAUACUCACACACUCACACACACACACUCACACACUCACAGACACACACUGACACACACUCACAGACUCACACACACAUACUCACACACUCACAGACACACACUGACACAUACUCACACACUCACAGACACAUACUCACACACUCACAGACACAUACUCACACACUCACAGACACACACUGACACACACACACUCACACACUGACACAUACACACUCACUGACACACACACUCACAGACACAUACUCACACACUUACAGACACACACUCACAGACACAUACUCACACACUCACACACAC